CCGCUGCUUCUUUUAGUCGAAAAGCCAAAGCCAGCAACCCCAUGCUUUUAAAAGCCAGCGCUGGCUUUUUCACUGUAGCGGGAGUACUGUAGUUUAAUGAACAUUUCAAAAUACCGGGUUGUGCCCUCUCUUCCUUUCAGCAAUUACACCACACUGCCAUCAAACCCUUAUCUUCCAUAUUGAAAAAUGAAUCCUCCAGCGCCGCGCAGUGAACUGCUCUUGCAUCUUGCUGACUGCCUCCUCUCAUUCGUGUUCGAAGCCUCAAUCCAAUUCCCAGAUUUUCGUACCAGGCUCUGAAAAUCGAAAGCUCUGCAGUUUGCAGCUGGGAGGGAUCUGAAACCUGGACAGCUUGGGAGGGAUCUUCUACUUCCAUUUCUACUUCUUCCGGUAGUUCUAGUUCUUAGGUUCUACACUUCUACUGUACCUGAUGGCAAAAGAAUCAGCCGUUUGGAAUGAGGGUUUAGUAGAUCUUUUUUGUGAACUAGCUAUGAAGGAGGUGGAUAAUGAUAAUCGUCCACACACUCAUUUUAAUCCGGAGGGAUGGGCGAAUAUAAUCAGUAAUUUUUCAAAUGAAACAGGAAAAGAAUAUACCAAAAAACAACUGAAAAAUAAAUGGGAUUCCCUUAAAGACCAUUGGAAAUUAUGGAAAGAAUUGAAGGGGAAAGAGACCGGUCUUGGGUGGGAUCACAAGAAACAGACUAUUGAUGCAUCCGAGGAGUGGUGGUGUGGCAAAAUUGAGAAAAACAAGGAUUAUGCAAAGUUCAAGAAAAAGGGGAUCACACCCGAUUUUGAAAUGAAGUUGGAUAAGAUGUUCAUGGGUAUUGCAGCCACCGGAAAGCAUGCAUAUGCACCAUCUUCUACACUACCCAUUCCUACACUACCCAUCUUCUACACUACCCAUUUCUAGAUAUUUUGGAAAGGCUCUAGAUCUUUUGUGUGAACUAGCUAAAGAUAUUGUCAAGCCGCCGGAUCCCCAAUUUAAUGGGGUUGCACCAGAGAUAAUGAGGGAUAAGAGAUACAUGCCGCAUUUUAAGGAUUGUAUUGGGGCUAUCGAUGGAGUGCAUAUUCCCGCUUCAAUAGCUCCUCAAGAUCAAAUACCGUACAUUGGUAGAAAAGGAAUACCAACUCAAAACAUUAUGGCAGCAUGUAAUUUUGAUAUGCAAUUUACCUUUGUAUGUGCGGGUUGGGAAGGGUCUGCUCAUGAUACAAAAGUGUUUCUAUCGGUUCUUCGAAAUCCCGAUUGGAAUUUUCCUAAACCACCACCGGGAAAAUAUUAUGUGGUAGAUUCGGGAUACCCUCAAAUGAGUGGGUUUUUGGGACCUUACAAAGGUUCAAGACAACAUUUUCAAGAAUAUCGUAGGCAAGAACCAAGAAAUGAAAAAGAAGUAUUUAACCAAGCACACUCUUCUCUUAGAAGCGUUAUAGAACGCACAUUUGGAGUUUGGAAAAAAAAGU